AGUGAACGCUGGCGGCAGGCCUAAUACAUGCAAGUCGAACGGCAGCACAGCAGAGCUUGCUCUGUGGGUGGCGAGUGGCGGACGGGUGAGGAAUACAUGGGAAUCUGCCCAGUCGUGGGGGAUAACGUAGGGAAACUUACGCUAAUACCGCAUGCGCCCUUCGGGGGAAAGCCGGGGACCUUCGGGCCUGGCGCGAUUGGAUGAGCCCAUGUCGGAUUAGCUAGUUGGCGGGGUAAUGGCCCACCAAGGCGACGAUCCGUAGCUGGUCUGAGAGGAUGAUCAGCAACACUGGAACUGAGACACGGUCCAGACUCCUACGGGAGGCAGCAGUAGGGAAUAUUGGACAAUUGGCGCAAGCCUGAUCCAGCCAUGCCGCGUGAGUGAAGAAGGCCCUCGGGUUGUAAAGCUCUUUUGUCCGGAAAGAAAAGCAUCCAGUUAAUACCUGGGUGUCCUGACGGUACCGGAAGAAUAAGCACCGGCUAACUUCGUGCCAGCCGCCGCGGUAAGAC
rnacentral:rRNA from 1 species